CUUUAUUGGUGUAACUGAACUCCGUAUGAGUCUUUGGCUAUGUAUCUUCUAACAAGGAAAUACUACUUU
rnacentral:sRNA from 1 species